AGGAGAAAAGAGCAGUGAGAGCUGAGCCUGGUGGCCAAGGGGAAGAGGCAAGCAGGGAGCCUGGCAGGGCUGUCGGCCAGAGAAGAGAAGGGAAGGGGGACGAAGGGCUAGCUGAGGAACCCACAGGAAGUAUGUGGAUGGGUCACGCCUGUGUAACAGUGCUAUCUGAAGACAAGUCAGUGAGUCCACAAAAAGCUCCACUUUGGGUCUAGUAUCGCUGUAGCUACCUCAUCUCCAAGGAGCUUUGGAGGAGACAGAAGGGACCCGUGAUAAAAGCUACAGGUUUCCUAACUACCUUCAGUCUACUGGGAUCAAAUCUAGACCCCUUCCUUACCAGGAAGCCUCACUUACUCAUGCAGUAGAAGGAAAAACAACAACAAACCCUCUGUGAGAAGACGGUUUUCAGCACUCAGCUCUGCCCCCAUCUCCUGGAAGGAUGCCCUAGGCCCCACUGGAUGAGAAGAUACCUGUGCUGGGCCAGGACUUAGAUAU